rnacentral:rRNA from 1 species
GACGAACGCUGGCGGCGUGCUUAACACAUGCAAGUCGAACGGAAAGGCCCUGCUUUUGUGGGGUGCUCGAGUGGCGAACGGGUGAGUAACACGUGAGUAACCUGCUCCUGACUUUGGGAUAACUUCAGGAAACUGGGGCUAAUACCGGAUAGGAGCUCCUGCUGCAUGGUGGGGGUUGGAAAGUUUCGGCGGUUGGGGAUGGACUCGCGGCUUAUCAGCUUGUUGGUGGGGUAGUGGCUUACCAAGGCUUUGACGGGUAGCCGGCCGGAGAGGGUGACCGGCCACAUUGGGACUGAGAUACGGCCCAGACUCCUACGGGAGGCAGCAGUGGGGAAUAUUGCACAAUGGGCGGAAGCCUGAUGCAGCAACGCCGCGUGCGGGAUGACGGCCUUCGGGUUGUAAACCGCUUUCGCCUGUGACGAAGCGUGAGUGACGGUAAUGGGUAAAGAAGCACCGGCUAACUACGUG